CAUCGCCCGCCUCCUUAUCCCUCCCUCCACACCCCUCUUCCCGCCUCCCCAACCGCCGGCGAUGCCUCCCCCGGCGGGGCUGAUCCCCUGGCCGUCCCCGACCGCCCCGGCACCGCGACUCACUACCACGACCCGGCCGCGCCCCCCGCCUCGCGUUCGCCCUCCUCCUCCGCCCCCUCCCCCUCGCCGCGCCCCGCCGCCACCUCCGCGGCUCAAGCCGGUCGUCGCGCCAAAACCGGCUGCCUCCCUGCCCCCGCCGCCCGUCAUUGUCUCCACCAUGGACCCCGCCUCCACCUGCCUCAACUGCACCCACUUCGGCUCGUGCUCCGGGUGCACUCACGAGUUCGACCUCGACAAGCCGCCGGUGCUGCAGGAGGUGACGGAUUUCUUCAGUGCUCACGGAAUCGAAGACUUCACCUUCAGCAGGGGCAGGCUGUCAGAAUGGCGGUGCCGGGCGAAGCUAGCGGUACGCGGAACACCAGAGAAACCGCUGAUUGGCCUGUAUCAGGAAGGGACACAUAUUGUUCAAGAUAUUCCCGAGUGCAGAGCCCAUCACCCAAGCAUUAACUAUGCUAUUAAGCUUCUGAAGCAAGGUAUAUCCGAGCUCGGUGUGCAGCCUUUUGAUGAAGAUGCUGGUACUGGUGAACUAAGAUACGUGCAGAUGACCGUGACGACAUAUAACACGUCUAUUCCAGUUGCGCAAAGAUACGAGCAAGCGAGAGUUCAAGUUUCAUUGGUUUGGAAUUCAAGAGACGAGCGCUCCAAAAAUUCAGAGAAGUUGAGUUUGUUGCAAGAAUUCUUAUGGACAAAUGGUGGACCAAGAAGUAAUUUGCAUGUGAUUCACUCCAUAUGGGCCAAUUUCCAGACAUCAACCAGCAAUAUAAUUUUUGGGCAUAAAUGGAGACAUAUCGGCGGGGAGGCAGAUCUGUGGGAGCGUUUUGGGGGAGUUGAUAUUUGUCUUGACCCUUAUAGCUUUGGGCAGGCUAAUACUCUGUCUUUUAACUCGUUACUGCAUAAGUUGAUCAAAUAUGUACCACGGGGCUCAACAGUUGUUGAUUUGUACUCUGGUGCCGGUGUUAUUGGGUUAGCCAUCGCGGCUUCUAGGAAAUGCAGGUCUGUGAGAUGUGUUGAGAUCAACAAAAUGUUGAAAUUGUCUUUUGAGAAGUCAGCAAGCCGACUUCCACCAAACCUGGGUUGCACCAUAACUUGGCACAAUACCGAUGCUUCAGCUGAACCCAUUCACUGGCUUGAAGGGUCAAGUGUUGCUAUCGUGGAUCCUCCCAGGAAAGGACUGCACCCUUCUGUUAUCAAUGCUCUACAGAGAGUUGCUUUAUCUGAGCGCAAGGCGUUCAAGGCCAAAAGUUCACUUACAAAGGUGAAAGAUGAGAAGAGACCAUGGAUCCUGCGAGCAAGGGAACCAGCUGUUCAUGUUGAUAGUACAAUCAUGGAAGAAAGUAGUGGAAUAUGGCCAGAGACCCUCAUAUACAUCAGCUGCGGCUGGGACAGUUUUAAAAAGGACUGCAAAAGCUUGAUAUCCAACGAGGCCUGGCAUUUGGAGAAUGCACAUGCUUUUAACUUCUUCCCUGGCACUGAUAGCAUCGAAGUCCUGGCGAUCUUCAGACGGGACUCUGGAAUUGCUCAGAAGAAAACAAAAACAAAAACAAAAACAAAAGCGAAAGCGAAAGCGAAAACAAAAGCGAAAAAGAAGAAAGCCAAGCCAUCGAAAGUCUAGCCAGACAAACGAUUUGGUCAUAGGAAAAGGCUGAAAGUGGCACGGGCUGUGGUGCUAAUUUGGCGUAUGCUUGCAUGUUUACCGCCGACCCAGAGAGUGAUGAGUUGCCGUGAGGAAUUUCACACCGGCCAAACGAAGCAUCAACUCAAGGAUCUCAAUUUAGGUCAAGGUAUUUGUAGAAACUCACAUAGAUAGUGUCUCAAUCAGGAACUUACAUUCUGUGCUAGGGAAUAUACUGGCUUAUUCCCUUCUUGUGUAAACAAGCAUUGAGACUGUGCAGUACAGGUUAGCUUAAGAGGGGAACUCGAGCGCAAGGGGACUGAUCUCAUGUGCUGUUUCACCAAAUUUUGGCCGUGCAUUUUGGUUCGCCUUUGUUGGAAAUAUAGAGCGUAGACUAUCUGCAGUAUCUAGGGAGAGGCAGCAAAGUGCCCCUUCUCCUCAUUUUAUGUUAUUUCGACCAUCAUUUUCUGCCCAUUCCUCCACCAAACUCAUGGAGACAAAGUUGUAAAUUGAGAUCAUUUUGUAUCUUUAGGGUGUACUCCCUCCGUUCCUA
rnacentral:rRNA from 1 species